rnacentral:rRNA from 1 species
GUCGACGGCAGCACAGGGAGCUUGCUCCCGGGUGGCGAGUGGCGCACGGGUGAGUAAUACAUCGGAACGUGUCCUGUUGUGGGGGAUAACUGCUCGAAAGGGUGGCUAAUACCGCAUGAGACCUGAGGGUGAAAGCGGGGGAUCGCAAGACCUCGCGCAAUUGGAGCGGCCGAUGCCCGAUUAGCUAGUUGGUGAGGUAAAGGCUCACCAAGGCGACGAUCGGUAGCUGGUCUGAGAGGACGACCAGCCACACUGGGACUGAGACACGGCCCAGACUCCUACGGGAGGCAGCAGUGGGGAAUUUUGGACAAUGGGGGCAACCCUGAUCCAGCCAUGCCGCGUGCGGGAUGAAGGCCUUCGGGUUGUAAACUGCUUUUGUCAGGGACGAAAAGGAUCGUGAUAAUACCAUGGUCUGCUGACGGUACCUGGAGAAUAAGCACCGGCUAACUACGUGCCAGCAGCCGCGGUAAUACGUAGGGUGCAAGCGUUAAUCGGAAUUACUGGGCGUAAAGCGUGCGCAGGCGGUUCUGUAAGACAGAUGUGAAAUCCCC